rnacentral:lncRNA from 1 species
CAGCCAUUCACAGUGUACUUCAUCCAAGUCAAGCCAUUAGAUCUAGAGGCCAAGGAAAGCAGCGUUUCCUGUGGCCUGGGAACUGGGCCUGGAUUCUGCCCUUUAUUUCCAGGACUCAGUAGUUUGAUGUCUCAGCUCUUCCUCUGAAUUCCUUUGAUGCAAGAGCUCUGUUUCACACCUGAUGUUUCCCUAAAACCUCCUGGGACUGUUGCAGGGGUUGUAAAUGGGGAUGGUGCUGGGGGAUGUGAAGACUUGGAUUUUUUUGUGUGCUUAUUUCAAAGGAGAGAGUCCAUUGCUUCCAUUAGAUUUCCAAAGGAAUUUUCUGGAUGUGUGAGCAAAAGGGCUCCCUGGGUAUUUUUCAGCCUGUUUUCUUCCCUUCUGUUUUGAAACUUGUGUUAGGGUUGCUGGAGCCACUUCAAGAGCCUACAGUGGUUGUUUAGAUUCACAGGAGAUCUCCUUGAUCUCUGGAAAACCCAUGUUUGAGUUUUUCUAAAUCUUACAUCCCUCACAUCUGAACAAGAUUGGGCCAGAACUGACAUCUAGGCUCCUGCCUGCUCUAACAGUCUGGUUCUGUGAUUCCUGUGUGUAUAGAAUCAUUUAAAUAUCAGCAGACAGGGGCAGCAGUUAUUUUUGCAUACCCAUGUGGUCUUGCAUGCAGAAGCAGAGGCCAGAGAUUUGGAAGCAAUGCCCCGAGGCCUGGGUGUCCCCUUCCUAGAUGGACUGACAGUCGUUGAUUCACACUGCUCUGUCCUGUUGGUACCCUAACGAUUCUGCAAAGCAUUGUACAGUCUAGUUAUGUCUAGUCAUGCCUGGUGAACAAAGCGUUUUUAUUGACCACCUAACAGUGUUUUUUUAAAAGGAUUAAUCUGACUCUUCUUUCUUUUAAUGGAGUGACAAUCAAGCCAUUGAUGCUGAAUUUAUGUUUCUCUUACAUGUGCCUUUGAUUUGUGAGUUGCUUCCUAUGUCACACUGCCUUGGAUAUGGCUGUGUUUCUAUAUUUACUGUGUUUUAAUGUUUCCAUGAACUUUAUUGCUACUUUUACAAUUACUAUCUCCACUAGCAUUUCUUCCAUCCUGUUAUUAAACGAAUAUGGAAAUUAGAAGUGAAGAAUAAGCAACUUAGGAUUUGUUUCUUUGGAGGCAUUAUAUAGAAAUAGUUAGAGAACAAUGAUUUGCCUGUUUUUAUUUAUUUAUUUAUUUUUAUCUUUUUGCCUUUUCUAGGGCCACCUCUGUGGCACAUGGAGGUUCCCAGGCUAGGGGUCUAAUCAGAGCUGUAGUCGCCGGCCUCCACCAGAGACACAGCAGUGCAGGAUCCAAGAUGCGUCUGCGACCUACACCACAGCUCACGGCAAUGCCAGAUCCUUAACCCACUGAGCAGGGCCAGGGAUCCAACCUGAAACCUCAUGGUUCCUAGUCGGAUUCACUAACCACUGAGCCACGACAGGAACCCCUGAUUUGCCUGUUUUUAAAGUUAAUUUCUUCCCUUUUCAUUAGAUUCUGUCUGAGGAUCAGAUUGUCCUCUGUUUCACUAAUGGAAGAGGAGCACAUCUUUGUGGUUAGAACAUGUCUCUAAAGAGUUCAGUUCCUUGGGUUUAGGGGGGUUGGAGAACUCCUACAUGAUGAUAAGGAUGGUGUUCCCAGACUUUUAUCGAAUGACUGUUAGGGGGCAGACACUGACUAUUCUCUUUACAUGCAGUAAUCUGUCCUCUCCAUACAACCACCCUAUGAGGUUGUUGCUACUAUUGUUCCCAUUUUAAAAAUGAAGAACGUAUGUUUUAGGCUAAGAGGCUUGCUCAAGGGCACACAGUGAAGGAUUGGUGCACCGAUUUGACCUUUGUUGGGUCUGACUCCAGCACUUGCAUUUACAGCCUCUCUUUUCUUCUUUCUCUGUGCUGCCUCUUAUGCUUGGGGUGUUCCAGAGUCAGCUACAUCUGUGACUAGUCCCAGCAUUUUGCGUUGAAGGAACAGACACCUUUAGUUUGGGAGUUUGCACAGCUUAUUAACAAAGGAACGUGGUAUGCAAGUAAAGACAAGUUUGUAAUAUCCUAGAGGCAAACUUUAGGUUAAAGGCCAUGUGUUGGGGUAACCAACAGAUGCUCAGAAGCAUAAUACAGAAACACCAGAAAAAAAAAUAGCAUCUAUUUUUCUUUACAUGGGUUUCCCAGUGCCAUUACCCUGUGAAAUACCAUGGACCUAAGGUCUAUAUUAGGAGAAAACAUAGAAAAAAAAAUCACCAAUCCAUGUAAAAAUUCCUUGCAGACCAGCCUUUGCCUUAACAAACCAAUUAGUCAUCCUAUUAAAAAUAUGAAGAUAAGGAAAACCAUUGCUCACAUUCUAUCUUUCCUGAUCCUGUGGUGAUGGAAGCCAUGGCAAAGAAACAGCGACUGGAAAAUGAUAAAAACCUGAGAGUUGAACAAGAUUUUGCAAGUUUUCAAUCCAGCCUCCAAGGACCUAGACCAUUUUCUUAUAAUUAAGACCAUCUAAAAUAUGGUGCAGUCAUUCUUGCUUCAUAAAACAGUAUUUCUUAGGGCUUGAGAAGCUCUCUUUGAUGGAACUGCAGAAAUGGGAGACUUAUCCUAGGAUUCUGUUUUUUAUUUAAUUGAUAAUAUAAGUAUUCAGCUUAAGAUAAUAAGCCUAACACUAGGAUGAGAAGAUGUUGCUGCUGCCCCAGGGAGAAUGAGACAGAAAGUUGUUCUCCAAAUGGAGAACUUAAGGGAUCACUAGACCCAGGGACUGAUUCUUUUUAUUAAGGAAGCUUCGAUGGUUAAAUGAGAAGUGACAUGGGCACAAGCAAAGAAUGGACAAGUCUUUCCCAGAAGCCUUGGGGAGUCUGCUCCAUACUGAACUUGGCAGCUAAGCUGGUGUCCCAUUAUCUUUCCCUUCUUUGGGGAGGGAGGCUGGUAAUAGUUCUUCUAGUCCUGGAGCCGCAUGUUCCAUAAAGAGAGUCUCUCCCUACUUUUAAACUCCUUCCCCAGAGAUAGUAUGUUUCUGAUCAGAAAAAGCUGCUCAACUUUUUCAGUUUCAGGGAACCAGUUGGUUUGUUUUUAUUUUUCUUUGCCCUAAGACAAAGAACAUUUGUGGAGUUCCUGUCGUGGCUCAGGAAACAAAUCUGACAUCCAUGAGGACGCAGGUUUGAUCUCUAGCCUUGCUUGGUCAGUUAAGGAUCCAGUGUUGUGAUCCAUUGGUCAAAGACAUGGCUCGGAUCUGAUGUUGCUGUGCCUCUGGUGUAGGCCAGUGGCUUCAGCUCUGAUUUGACCCCUAGACUGGGAACCCCCAUGUGCCAUGGGAG